rnacentral:rRNA from 1 species
GAUGAACGCUGGCGGCGUGCUUAACACAUGCGAGUCGAACGGAAAGGCUCCUGCUUGCAGGGGUACUCGAGUGGCGAACGGGUGAGUAACACGUGGGUGAUCUGCCCUGCACUUCGGGAUAAGCCUGGGAAACUGGGUCUAAUACCGGAUAGGACGAUGGUUUGGAUGCCAUUGUGGAAAGUUUUUUCGGUGUGGGAUGAGCUCGCGGCCUAUCAGCUUGUUGGUGGGGUAAUGGCCUGCCAAGGCGUCGACGGGUAGCCGGCCUGAGAGGGUGUACGGCCACAUUGGGACUGAGAUACGGCCCAGACUCCUACGGGAGGCAGCAGUGGGGAAUAUUGCACAAUGGGCGCAAGCCUGAUGCAGCGACGCCGCGUGGGGGAUGACGGCCUUCGGGUUGUAAACUCCUUUCGCUAGGGACGAAGCGCAAGUGACGGUACCUGGAGAAGAAGCACCGGCUAACUACGUG